rnacentral:lncRNA from 1 species
UCCCGAUGAGGAGAAGCAUGAAGAAGACUAAGACGCAACUCUUUACCUCAGCUCACUAAUCUUGUUCUGAUCAAGGACUUUCAACCGCUUAUUCGCUCUGCACACGAACGAGACUAAAUGGGGCGCUACACCGGUCACCAGGGCAUCAGUUGUCCAAGCUCUCACGCUUAUGGAAUGUCCUGGCCAUUCUGCUCUAUGGGGAAGGCCACAAUGCAGGGACGCGGCAAGAUCGCAACUACCCGGCUACACUCACUCCUAUCGGGUCACUAUCCUAUGGCUGGAAACACAAUUGGAAACGACCUCCGUCAUCACAUGCAUUGAGCAGGGUAGGGAUCAGCAACACAGACCAAAGGCACCACGCCUCGGCAUGACUCUCACAGCACCGACUGCUUACAGGCAAGGAGCCAGAACAAGAAGACAAUGAACAACCACUCGCUGUACACAGCUGAAAUACCACUAGAUCAAAGAGGAACAGGUGCUGUAGUGUAGGCAAAGCAAAGAACAAACAGAGUAGGAGAUAGGGCUGCCAGAAAGGGGUCCAUAAAUGAUGGACUGUGGAUAGGGGGAAAGCGGAGGAGAGAUCGACCGCCAGCAGCAGCAACCGUUGUUUAGCACGACACAGCAGGAAACUGAAUAGGCACGGAAGGACNN